UACGGAGGGUGCAAGCGUUAAUCGGAAUUACUGGGCGUAAAGGGUGCGUAGGUUGUUUUUUAAGUUAUCUGUAAAAUCCCUGGGCUCAACCUGGGCAUGUCAGAUAAGACUGAGAGACUCGAGUAUAGGAGAGGGUAGUGGAAUUUCCGGUGUAGCGGUGAAAUGCGUAGAGAUCGGAAGGAACACCAGUGGCGAAGGCGGCUACCUGGCCUAAUACUGACACUGAGGCACGAAAGCGUGGGGAGCAAACAGG
rnacentral:rRNA from 1 species